CAGAGAAUGCUCUUCUUCACCUGAAACUGGCGGAGUCCUGGGAAGUGACCAGAAGGGACCACAGGGCAGAGACACAAGCGCUUCUCGGGGAGCAGAUGCCCCGGCGAGGACACUCUCUCUCCGCCCUGACCCAGCUCUGCCGCGCCGCCCAGAAGCUGAAACAAGAGAUGGAGGCACUUCAGUCCCCUUCUCGGGGCCUUCUCCAGAGUUACCAGGAGC